GCCGCGUUAGCUCAGUGGUAGAGCGCGCCACUCGUAAUGGUGAGGUCGAUUGUUCGAUCCAGUCACGUGGCA
rnacentral:tRNA from 1 species